rnacentral:rRNA from 1 species
GACGAACGCUGGCGGCGUGCCUAAUACAUGCAAGUAGAACGCCGUUUCGAACGGGUGAGUAACGCGUAGGUAACUGCCUCAUAGCGGGGGAUAACUAUUGGAAACGAUAGCUAAUACCGCAUACUGUGAGAUGGACUUGCGUUGUAUUAGCUAGUUGGUGGGGUGAAGGCUCACCAAGGCGACGAUUAAUAGCCGACCUGAGAGGGUGAGCGGGCAAACUGGGACUGGGACACGGCCCAAACUCCUACGGGAGGCAGCAAUAGGGAAUCCUCGGCAAUGGACAGAAGGCUGAACGAGCAACGCCGCGUGAGUGAAGAAGGUUUUCGGGUCGUAAAGCUCUGUUGUGAGGGAAGCGGUAACUAACCGGAAAGGGACGGCUAACUACGUGCCAGCAGCCGCGGUAAUUC